rnacentral:rRNA from 1 species
AAGAAGACAGGAUGUUUAGUGGCGGACGGGUGAGUAACGCGUGAGUAACCUGCCUUGGAGUGGGGAAUAACACAGUGAAAACUGUGCUAAUACCGCAUAAUGCAUUUGGGUCGCAUGAUUCUGAAUGCCAAAGAUUUAUCGCUCUGAGAUGGACUCGCGUCUGAUUAGCUGGUUGGCGGGGUAACGGCCCACCAAGGCGACGAUCGGUAGCCGACCUGAGAGGGUGAUCGGCCACAUUGGGACUGAGACACGGCCCAAACUCC